rnacentral:rRNA from 1 species
CACGCCGCGUGAGUGAUGAAGGUUUUCGGAUCGUAAAACUCUGUUGUUAGGGAAGAACAAGUACCGUUCGAAUAGGGCGGCACCUUGACGGUACCUAACCAGAAAGCCACGGCUAACUACGUGCCAGCAGCCGCGGUAAUACGUAGGUGGCAAGCGUUGUCCGGAAUUAUUGGGCGUAAAGCGCGCGCAGGCGGUUUCUUAAGUCUGAUGUGAAAGCCCCCGGCUCAACCGGGGAGGGUCAUUGGAAACUGGGGAACUUGAGUGCAGAAGAGGAGAGUGGAAUUCCACGUGUAGCGGUGAAAUGCGUAGAGAUGUGGAGGAACACCAGUGGCGAAGGCGACUCUCUGGUCUGUAACUGACGCUGAGGCGCGAAAGCGUGGGGAGCGAACAGGAUUAGAUACCCUGGUAGUCCACGCCGUAAACGAUGAGUGCUAAGUGUUAGAGGGUUUCCGCCCUUUAGUGCUGCAGCAAACGCAUUAAGCACUCCGCCUGGGGAGUACGGUCGCAAGACUGAAACUCAAAGGAAUUGACGGGGGCCCGCACAAGCGGUGGAGCAUGUGGUUUAAUUCGAAGCAACGCGAAGAACCUUACCAGGUCUUGACAUCCUCUGACAACCCUAGAGAUAGGGCUUCCCCUUCGGGGGCAGAGUGACAGGUGGUGCAUGGUUGUCGUCAGCUCGUGUCGUGAGAUGUUGGGUUAAGUCCCGCAACGAGCGCAACCCUUGAUCUUAGUUGCCAGCAUUCAGUUGGGCACUCUAAGGUGACUGCCGGUGACAAACCGGAGGAAGGUGGGGAUGACGUCAAAUCAUCAUGCCCCUUAUGACCUGGGCUACACACGUGCUACAAUGGGCAGAACAAAGGGCAGCGAAGCCGCGAGGCUAAGCCAAUCCCACAAAUCUGUUCUCAGUUCGGAUCGCAGUCUGCAACUCGACUGCGUGAAGCUGGGAAUCGCUAGUAAUCG